CUCUACGGGACGCAGCAGUAGGGAAUCUUCCACAAUGGACGAAAGUCUGAUGGAGCAACGCCGCGUGAGUGAAGAAGGGUUUCGGCUCGUAAAGCUCUGUUGGGAGUGAAGAAAGAUAGAGGUAGUAACUGGCCUUUAUUUGACGGUAAUUACUUAGAAAGUCACGGCUAACUACGUGCCAGCAGCCGCGGUAAUACGUAGGUGGCAAGCGUUAUCCGGGUUUACUGGGUGUAAAGGGAGCGCAGACGGCAAGGCCAGUCUG
rnacentral:rRNA from 1 species